rnacentral:rRNA from 1 species
CCAGAGAACUUAGCAGAGAUGCUUUGGUGCCUUCGGGAACUCUGAGACAGGUGCUGCAUGGCUGUCGUCAGCUCGUGUUGUGAAAUGUUGGGUUAAGUCCCGCAACGAGCGCAACCCUUAUCCUUUGUUGCCAGCGGCUCGGCCGGGAACUCAAAGGAGACUGCCGGUGAUAAACCGGAGGAAGGUGGGGAUGACGUCAAGUCAUCAUGGCCCUUACGGCCAGGGCUACACACGUGCUACAAUGGCGCAUACAAAGAGAAGCGACCUCGCGAGAGCAAGCGGACCUCACAAAGUGCGUCGUAGUCCGGAUUGGAGUCUGCAACUCGACUCCAUGAAGUCGGAAUCGCUAGUAAUCGUAGAUCAGAAUGCUACGGUGAAUACGUUCCCGGGCCUUGUACACACCGCCCGUCACACCAUGGGAGUGGGUUGCAAAAGAAGUAGGUAGCUUAACCUUCGGGAGGGCGCUUACCACUUUGUGAUUCAUGACUGGGGUGAAGUCGUAACAAGGUAGGCGUAGCGAG